GGCCUUGAGGUCAUACUCAAGCCCAUUCGCCACCUCUUGGGCCUCCCUGCCUGGCCUUUGAAUGAAGUUUCAGAGUGAGAGGCGCAGCCCUGAGGCGCGUGGACCUGAAAGCUUGCCAACUAAAAUGAGGCGAGGGCAUUUCAUGCAGUCAGAUCAUCUCAGGAAGACACUGGAGGCUGAGGCGGGAAGACUGGUGCUAGUAAAAUUGCCAGAAAUUUGAGGACAAGGCUUCCAAGUUCAACAGUCCUGACUGUCCCGGAACUCACUUUGUAGACCAGUCUGGUCUUGAACUCAAAGCAAUACACCUACCUCUGCUUCCCAAGUGCCAGGAUUAAAGAAGUGGCCCCCACCUCCAGAUAGAAUGAUUAUUUUCUUUCUGGACUUUUAUAAGGGUAGGAAAGAUGGCAGAGGAUAUUGGGAGAAAGCCCAGCAUUGCAAGUGUUUGAGCGCUUUGUCUGCAUGGUGUACAAU
rnacentral:lncRNA from 1 species